GUGUGUUUGUGUAUGGAUGGUGUUCAGCACCAGGGACAGGUAAAGUUAUGUGUGGAUGGUGUUCAGCACCAGGGACCGGUAUAGUUGUGU
rnacentral:pre_miRNA from 1 species